AGAGAAUAGAAAAAAACGAAGAGCCCAGAAAAUAGACUUUACUUUUCUAUUGGAGGGAAAAUGGAGACAAACAAAUUUACAACGUUUUCUCUUUUUCUGGGUUUGGUGAGAGAGAAUUUGUAAAAGCCCUGGAAUGUUAAGUCAUGAGAAAAGGCCUAAGGUCUUUUAUCGAUAGACAACAAACGACCCAAAGAGAGAGAGAGUAAAGAAAAGAGAUGAUGAUGAUAAGGAAGAAAAUAGAUUCUCCGCAUGGUUUUUGGCUUUAAAGAUUAACCCGGUUAACCUUAGACUGACCAUCACCACCAUCAUCAUUAUUUUCCAUUGAUUAUGACCAUUGAUAUGGAUCUUUUUUCGUUUUCUCUCUCUCUCUCUUCUCGUCAUGUAAUCUAUGUAGAUGUUUGACCGGUGGACUUGUUCAUCUUUUCAUUGUACAGGUGAAUUAAAGGGUGAAGGUUGUGGAGAGAAAAUUUUUGGCCAUCAUGGAGAAAUUAAGGCGAACAUAAUUUGUUCUAUUCUAUUCCAUAAUUUUUGUCUUCCAUCAUAAUCUUCAUCCAUGUAAUUUCUUUGUUUUCCUUUUUCUCUUCUGGUCUUCCAAGGAGAAGAUCUAGAUCUUUCUAUAUUCUAUCUUCUGGUUUUCUUGACACUUUCUCUUUCUUUCGUUUCCUUUGUCUGUUUUCUCUCUCAUUUGUAAUUAGAUGAUGUGCUUUUGUUCUAAGACUUGGAUCAUCUUUCAUCUUCUACUACCACAGGACAUUGAGAAUACAAAUUCUCGGUCACGGCCAUUGGUCGAAUUAUAACUGUGUGGACUCUUCAAACAAUUGGAAUAGCAACUAAAUCUACUUGAGUUUAUUUCUUCGUCUUGGAGCCAAAAUAAAACUUAAUAGAAAAGAAGGAGAACAAAACGAACAACUUUAUAGAGGAAAACAAGGAAACAUGAAGGAUUUUAAAUUGAUGGAUACCGUUGAGUGAUCAAUAAGAGAAGAGAAGAGAACAAGAAAAAAAAAUUCUAUCAUAAGUUGAAGGUGUUAAGGAUCCUCUUCACAAGGAUCAACAU